AGAUAUGCUCCCGAUUCGAUUUCUCCUUCCCCAGUUCCUGGAAUGCGUAGAUUUUCAAUUCGUCAGAAAUUUCCUGGGAAAGAGAAUAUUUGUCCUGCUUCCUCCCAAAGAACUCCUAUUGUAAUGUAAACCUUGGAUUUCACUCCUCAUUCAUCUUCAAGUAAAAAGUUUAGUUGUUUGAAAGAAAAGAAAGAAUCUUCUUCUAAACCCUGCCCAGAUGUCGAAAUCAUUGAUGAAAGAAGUUUAUCUGAUACUGUUAUUCAUAUGACUAGAAGAUCUGAUGAGAUAUAUAAUUCCAUCCUUCUGAAAUCUGGAAACAAUGCA